rnacentral:SRP_RNA from 1 species
AGCCGGGGCAGUAGCGGGGCCCUGUACCUGAAAUCCGCUAUAGCAGGGGUGAUGCCGAUCCGAGGGCCUGAUUUGAUGGAGCUGCCCUCAUUAAGCAGCGAUGACGUCUGGGUCUUGCGCAACGGAAACUUCCGAACCGUGUCAGGAUGGGAACAUAGCAGCACUAAGGGAGAUCUUUCGUGUGACGCAAGGGUGCCUGGGCCGAGCCGGCUGGUGAGGUUACGUCUGUUGAUGACGAUUCAAAGUGAGGCGCGCG